AGUCGAGCGCUUCCCUUCGGGGAGGAGCGGCGGACGGGUUAGUAACGCGUGGGAAUAUACCCAGUUCUAAGGAAUAGCCAUUGGAAACGAUGAGUAAUACCUUAUACGCCCUUCGGGGGAAAGAUUUAUCGGAAUUGGAUUAGCCCGCGUUAGAUUAGAUAGUUGGUGGGGUAACGGCCUACCAAGCCGACGAUCUAUAGCUGGUUUGAGAGGAUGAUCAGCAACACUGGGACUGAGACACGGCCCAGACUCCUACGGGAGGCAGCAGUGGGGAAUAUUGGACAAUGGGCGCAAGCCUGAUCCAGCCAUGCCGCGUGAGUGAUGAAGGCCUUAGGGUUGUAAAGCUCUUUCGCUAGGGAAGAUAAUGACGGUACCUAGUAAAGAAGCCCCGGCUAACUUCGUGCCAGCAGCCGCGGUAAUACGAAGGGGGCUAACGUUGUUCGGAUUUACUGGGCGUAAAGCGUACGUAGGCGGAUUAGUAAGUUAGGGGUGAAAUCCCGAGGCUCAACCUCGGAACUGCCUUUAAUACUGCUAAUCUAGAGAUCGGGAGAGGUGUAUGGAACUCCUAGUGUAGAGGUGGAAUUCGUAGAUAUUAGGAAGAACACCAGUGGCGAAGG
rnacentral:rRNA from 1 species